rnacentral:lncRNA from 1 species
AUUUCAGUCUCUGGGUAGAAAUUGGGAAGCUCAGUCCGAUUUCCACCGGAGCCUAACCCAUUCAGCUCUCCCACUUUUCAUGGCUUCAGAAGCAACACUCCCUCCUCCCUCUGGGAAAAAGAGGGGAUCCUUUCCUCUGAUGGAAAAGGGGGUGUAGGGAAGGGGGAGGAAUCCAUCAUUAACUUUCUCGGGGAAAAAAAAAACUGCUCCGCUGUCUAUCCAAUCAACCUAUGUGCAUCAGGAUUUAAUAUUAAGGGAAGAAAAGGAGAUGGGGAAAGGUACCCUCUGAAUCUUCACUGAACAGUUCAUACGUCCUAGAUAGAAAUCCCCCUCUAUCACUACCAGGAAACUUAAAAGAGCAUCUUGCUCGCAUCCACCACCGCCGCAACCCCCUCCUUGGAGAAGCUGCUACUGAACAGAGCAGGCAGCUCCCCAAAAGCUGGCGUUACAAUUGCAUCAACCCUUCCUUUCCUUCACCAGUCCCUCUGUUUCUUCUCUCUUCCCCUCUCCUGAGCCCCUACCUUGCAACGCAGCUUGGGCUCCCAGAGGUAAAAGUGCGCGGCACGCUCCUUGGCUCUCGCCGCCUCUGUCCGCGAGGCUUGCCCCACGCGGGGUGCUGGGCUCCAGCGAGGAAGGCUCGGCCCGGGCUGACUCCUCUGCUCCGGUUCCUUCUCCCGCGCGCGCAGUUAGGGAGGGGUAAGGGGGAAAACUCCCGGCAACUCCAACUCUAGUCACUGGGGCUCCAGCUGCUGCCGCCCGCCAGCCGCGGAGUGCAAACGCUUGUAAUGCAAACCUGCCCCCGCUGGCGGACUCUGAGCAUGCCCAGUUUGGCUGCUAACAACAGCUACCUUGCCCGGGGCAAAGGGCUGUGGGGUGUCCUCGGCCCUCCUGCAAACCCUUCGGGGAGGCGGGGAGGCGGGAGGCAUCUGGGUGUGGGCAGAGUUGGAGUUAGGUUCGAGAUUGGGCUGAGACAGUGCCUGGUGGACUCCUGGAAAGGCAGAGAGACUUCUGGAUCUGGAAUAAGAAGACCUACUUUCAAUCUUGAAUCUGCCACAGUAUGACCGCCUGAAUAACCUUCUGUGAAGAGUGCAGUCUUCAAACAUGGGAGUUUCAAAAAUUGAAAGAGCAAGUCACACAGAUCUAGAAAUUGGAAUACAGACUGGGAUUUGCAGCUCAUGAAAUGCAAUGACCUAAGGAAUCAGGAAUAAUCUUUGGGAGUGAUCUUCGAGAUUAUAGCCCAGGAGAAGAUCUGUCUUGGAAGUCACAUAGGUGCUAGACAUGAACAUGAUUUGGUGGGACUAAUGGUAUAUAGGAACUAAACAAAGUUAUGAGCUUACCACUACACUCCCCACAACCUUUAUAUUCUUUUUCCACAGAUUAGUGACAUAGAGGACAUUAUGAUCCCAAAUAUUAAAAAUGUACAUUUGUUCUUGCUAAAACUUUGAAAUAAAUAUAUCUUUUUAAAAAAAGUUAAUUGAUCU